CGGCGAGUGAAGCGGCAAAAGCUCAAAUUUGAAAUCUGGCGUCUUCGGCGUCCGAGUUGUAAUUUGAAGAAGGUAACUUUGGGGCUGGUCCUUGUCUAUGUUCCUUGGAACAGGACGUCAUAGAGGGUGAGAAUCCCGUGUGGCGAGGAUCCCAGUCCUUUGUAAAGUGCUUUCGACGAGUCGAGUUGUUUGGGAAUGCAGCUCUAAGUGGGUGGUAAAUUCCAUCUAAAGCUAAAUAUUGGCGAGAGACCGAUAGCGAACAAGUACAGUGAUGGAAAGAUGAAAAGAACUUUGAAAAGAGAGUGAAAAAGUACGUGAAAUUGUUGAAAGGGAAGGGCAUUUGAUCAGACAUGGCGUUUGCUUCGGCUUUCGCUGGGCCAGCAUCAGUUUUGGCGGUUGGAUAAAUCCUCGGGAAUGUGGCUCUACUUGUAGAGUGUUAUAGCCCGUGGGAAUACAGCCAGCUGGGACUGAGGACUGCGACUUUUGUCAAGGAUGCUGGCGUAAUGGUUAUAUGCCGCCC
rnacentral:rRNA from 1 species